rnacentral:snRNA from 1 species
GACGUCUCACACAGAGCUUUUAG